CACAAGUUUCAGGGCAGGGUGGGAUUCCCUACUGGCGGUUGAGCCCGCGACCCGCGAAAGCGGCUGAUCCGGUAUGAUUCCGGAGCCAACGGUAUAGUCCGGACGGAAGAAACGAGGA
rfam:Scardovia wiggsiae F0424 genomic scaffold supercont1.1, whole genome shotgun sequence.